UCCACCAGGUGAGAAGAGUGAUGACCAUCCUUUUCCUUAAUAUGGUUAUUUCAUACUUCGGUUGCAUGAAGGCUGCCCCCAUGAAAGAAGCCAACAUCCGAGGACAAGGCCGCUUGGCCUACCCAGGUGUGUGGACCCAUGGGACUCUGGAGAGCAUGAAUGGGCCCAAGGUGGGUUCAAGAGGCCUGACCUCAUUGGCUGACACUUUCAAACAUGUGAUAGAAGAGCUGUUGGAUGAGGACCAGAAAAUUCGGCCCAAUGAAGAAAACAAUAAGGAUGUGAACAUAUACACUUCCAGGGUGAUGCUCAGUAGUCAAGUGCCUUUAGAGCCUCAUCUUCUCUUUCUGCUUGACGAAUACAAAAAUUACCUGGAUGCUGCAAACAUGUCUAUGAGGGUCCGACGCCACUCUGAACCUGCCCUCUGUGGGGAGCUGAGUGUGUGUGACAGUAUUAGCGAGUGGGUAACAGCGGCAGAUAAAAAGACUACAGUGGACAUGUCGGGCGGGACGGUCACAGUCCUGGAAAAAGUCCUUGUAUUGAAAGGCCAACUGAAGCAAUAUUUCUACGAGACCAAGUGCAAUCCAUAGAUUACACAAAAGAGGGCUGCAGCGGCAUAGACAAAAGGCAUUGGAACUUCCAGUGCCGAACUACCAAUUAUAUGCGGGCCCUGACCAUGGAUAGCAAAAAGAGAAUUGGCUGGCGAUUUAUAAGGACAGACACUUCCUGUGUCCAUACAUUGACCAUUAAAAGGGGAAAAUAGUGGAUUUAUGUUGGAUAGAUUAUAUUGAGACAAAAAUUAUCUAUUUGUAUAUAUACAUAACAGGGUAAAUUAUUCAGUUAAGAAAAGAAAUUAAUUUUAUGAACUGCAUGUAUAAAUGAAGUUUAUACAGUACAGUGGUUCUACAAUCUAUUUACUGGACAUACCCAUGACCAGAAGGGAAAGAGUCAUUUGCGCACAACUUUAAAAGUCUGCAAUACAUUCCUCGAUAAUGUUGUGGUUUGUUGCCGUUGCCAAGAAUCAAAAACGUAAAAAAAAGUUUUAAAAUCAUCAUAAUAAAUUGCAUGCUGCU